rnacentral:rRNA from 1 species
UACGUAGGUGACAAGCGUUAUCCGGAUUUAUUGGGUUUAAAGGGUGCGUAGGUGGCCCGUUAAGUCCGGGGUGAAAGCCCACAGCUCAACUGUGGAACUGCCCUGGAUACUGGCGGGCUUGAGAGUCGUCGAGGGUGGCGGAAUGGACGGUGUAGCGGUGAAAUGCAUAGAUACCGUCCAGAACCCCAAUUGCGUAGGCAGCUGCCUAGGCGACAUCUGACACUGAGGCACGAAAGCGUGGGGAGCGAACAGG